AUUGAACGCUGGCGGCAGGCCUAACACAUGCAAGUCGAACGGUAACAGGAAGCAGCUUGCUGCUUUGCUGACGAGUGGCGGACGGGUGAGUAAUGUCUGGGAAACUGCCCGAUGGAGGGGGAUAACUACUGGAAACGGUAGCUAAUACCGCAUAACGUCGCAAGUCCAAAGAGGGGGACCUUAGGGCCUCUUGCCAUCGGAUGUGCCCAGAUGGGAUUAGCUAGUAGGUGGGGUAACGGCUCACCUAGGCGACGAUCCCUAGCUGGUCUGAGAGGAUGACCAGCCACACUGGAACUGAGACACGGUCCAGACUCCUACGGGAGGCAGCAGUGGGGAAUAUUGCACAAUGGGCGCAAGCCUGAUGCAGCCAUGCCGCGUGUAUGAAGAAGGCCUUCGGGUUGUAAAGUACUUUCAGCGGGGAGGAAGGGAGUAAAGUUAAUACCUUUGCUCAUUGACGUUACCCGCAGAAGAAGCACCGGCUAACUCCGUG
rnacentral:rRNA from 1 species